rnacentral:lncRNA from 1 species
UACCACACAGGAGCAUAAUCUUCUGAAACAAACAUUACAACGGAGUAUUCAUAAAUUAUGUAAAGCCUUUGCAAAUAUAUAUGGACAUAUACUUAGAAUUUACUGGGGAAAGUUUACUAUGUAGUUAGAAAUAAUAAAUACCUAUGUAUUAGAAACUGCAGAAUAGAGAGAUAUUUGCACAAAUGAUACAAAAAUUGGGAAUCUAAAAAUACUUUUAUAAAUGUUACACAUUUUUGAAAACUCUUUUAACACUUUUAUAUUUUAUUAGAAAUUAAGGAAUCAAAAAUCCUACACAAUGAUCUGUAGUUAUAAUAAAACAAUAAAAAAUAUAAUAUCCAAAUGAUAUAUAAAAACGUACUUCUGAAUUGGUGUAGAAAUUCCAUCUAGUUCAGAAUAAUAUCAAUAUGGAUACUUCCUUUUAUAUUAAAUUCACAAAAUCUAGCAGUUUUCUAUGGUAUUUUACAUUUUCUUAGAUUGUUUUAAAAUUUCUUCAUUCUUUCUUUGGUUUUGGAUAAACUAACAGGCAUUUUAAUUAAUGUAAUUCAAUUAGUGUAAAAUUCACUAAUCUGAAUUUAAAAAUCUAUCUCAGAAGUAGUUCAAUUUUUCUUUUUUAAUUUUUAAUAGAUUAAUUCUAAGGUAAGACUCAUUUAUUAAAGUAGAUUAUAAAACACUGCCCUAAUUUUUACCUAAUUAGCUUAAAAAGCACCAUCCUUGAUAUAAGCAUUAUUUACUAAUCUCUAAAUCUAAUUUAAUGUAUAAAUAAAAUACUAACUUUAACAUGGAGUAAAAAUCAGUGCAAUGAGAAGGUCAUUUUUAAAAUCAAUGACAGGGCCAAGUCUCUAUGUAAUCUCUAAAAUGGCACUUUAUCUUCCAAUUUAAUGUUUAGAAGACUCAAGAUCACUUUUUAAAAAAUAUUUUGUCUUUUACCAAUAUAUAUAUAUAAAUAAUAGAUUCUUAUUUGCAAACCUCUGGAGCCAAACAAGGUAAAGCUACCAUAAAGUAUAUUCAGUGGUUUUCAAAGAAAAAACAUUUUAUCUUGGAUACCCUACCUUAAUGUUAGUUUAGACUGAAUAUCCGGUGUUUUCCCUACUACGAAGCUUGAGCUCAUAAAAAAGAAUGAGAUUAUGUCCUUUGCAGAGGCAUGGCUGGAGCUGGAAGUCAUUAUCCUUAGCAAACUAAUGCAGAAACAGAAAAACAAAUGCCAUCCGUUCUCACUUCUAAGUGGGAGCUAAAUGAUGAGAACACAUGGACACAGAGGGGAACAGCACACACUAGGGCCUAUCAAAGGGUGGAGGGUGGAAGGAGGGAGAGGAUCAGGAAAAAUAACUAAUGGAUACUAGGCUUAAUACCUGGGUGAUAAUCUGUACAACAAACUCCCACGACACAAGUUUACCUAUGUAACAACCUGCACAUGUACCCCUGAACUUCAAGUAAAAAAAAAAAAAAAGGAAGUUUGGACUGAAUAGGGAAGGAGUUGGAUGGUUCCUGGAAAUGGACAUAAAAUACCCUGAGUGGAUCUGAAAGAGCAAGUGGGUCAUGCUUUGAGCAGUAAUGAUGCACCAGAGAGCACCUAACCAGCAGCCCUAUAACAUGGGCUCCAGGCUACUCACAUAUCUAACUAUUCCUCAAGUGGGAGAGCUGCUGAAUUAAGACUGGCAUUUGCUCUUAAAAGUUUCUAUUGCUAAUGUUUAGGAAUAAUGUAGAAAAUUCUCAAAAAUGCUUUGGUUUGCUUUGUGCAGGAAACUAAGCAUUAGCAAUCUUCCCCGGACACAUGGAGCUGUGACCACGGAAAAGAGGCAUGGACCUGGUGGUCGCUGCUGCUGCUGCUGCUGCUGCUGCCUAAUGUGUCUCAUUGCUAUAGAAAUGGAGUCAGCUGGCCAGGCGCGGAAGCUCACGCCUAUAAUCCCAGCACUUUGGGAGGCCGAGGUGGGCAGAUCACCUGAGGUCAGGAGUUCAACACCGGCCUGGCUAACAUGGUGAAACCCUGCCUCUACUAAAAAUACAAAAAAAAUUUAGCUGGGUGUGGUGGCAUGCACCUGUAAUCCUAGCUACCCAGGAGGCUGAAGCAGGAGAAUCGCUUGAGCCCAGGAGGUGGAGGUUGUAGUGAGCCGAGAUCGUGCCACUGCACUCCAGCCGGGGCCACAGAGCCAGACUCCGUUUCAAAAAAAAAGAAAAGAAAAAAGAAAUGGAGUCAGCAAAGUCAAGGAGAAAUUUUCAAACAGAGGCAAGGCUCUGGGUCAUUUUUGUCACCCUGUGAUAAAGGACAACAUUAAUGUUAGUCUCAACACAUCUUUUAAAAUUUCAGACAUCUACUAGUAGGCAAUGAUCCCUUCUCCUUACAGCCAGAAAUAGUCUGAAAGUAAUUUAUUAUGCAUUUAUAUGAUACAUAUAUGUGUGUAUAUAGUUUAUAAAUCUAAGUUUAUAAAUAUGCUCAUAUAUAUAGCCUUAUAAAGUUACAGUUUGGAUUAGUAAAAAUUAGACUGAUGAAAUGCAAUUAUCUGAUAGAAAAGAGGAAAUUAGCUGAUUUGAGAUUUGAGAAUGUAAAAAUGAGUGUAAGGACUUGAAUCACAAUCAAGAGAAACAGUGGGGAGAGGGACAAGAGGAAGACAUGCCUGGAGCCUCAUCUCUGCUAAUUCCCCUUCCUGUUCUCUGCUCCAUUUUCUACAGUAAUGUCAGAUGGGGAAACACACUCUGAAGAAAAGCCAGGCAGAGCAGGACAGAGCGCGAGGAGACGAGGGCUCUGGGAAGGUGUCAUUGCAGUGGUGGCGUCUGGGCAAAGGCCAGCUCCUGAUGGCACGUGGAGGGUGGGAGGCUCCCCUCCCAUGGAGGAGCUUCGACUGUAAACAAUAAAGAUGACAUCACCUGCCAUAGCUUUUAAUUGCGUUUAUAUUCAACCCUAAGAUCAAUAAAUGUGGGGUACUUCACGUGAACUGUCUGAAUUUGAAGAUGGAACAUAGAAAAAG